CGAGGGCAAGAUAGGAUAAGAGUGACUCACAGAGGCGUUUUUACCAAUGACGCAGGGGGUGUGUGACAGCCAGGCGAAGAAUUUGGGGAGCCCCAGCCGUUUAUACUUAUUAACAUUUUUGUACGUAUUCCAUUUUGACCGCGCGCUUUUUAAAGGGCGCUAGGUAAUGCUUGCACCCAGGCAAUACAUAUGUUAGAAACGCCUCUGGUUACUCGGAUCCUCAUGAAUUUUUGAUAACUAGGUAAGUCAGUUAUCAAAUUAUAUACAGGGAUUUACCCCGUCCAUGCGGGCCCAGGCCUCAGUUGGGCUCUGGAGCCCUGGCAGAUGGGGGGCUGUGACACCAUCACACUCGUCCUCUGAGUUAUCAAUAAAUCCCAGUGGUUGAACUGGAGUGAUAAUAUUACAACUACUCUGAACCCAGCGAAUGGUAGGUGGAAUAACCCAUGGAAUUUUGCAACAGAACAAUUUGCAACUGAUCAGGGAGAAUUUACAGGAAAUUAUUUAUUAGGUCAAUAAUUCCUCAGAACAAUUGAGAUAACAACAGGUAAUUUAUAUACAGUGAUCAGUAAGUAAUAUCAGGGCCUUGGCCUUACAACCAGGUAACAGUAAAACUUUUACUAAUAAUGUGAAGAAGGAAGUAAAAAAAAAAAAAAAAAAUAAAAAGCAUCGGGGACUCACAUAUCUU
rnacentral:lncRNA from 1 species